UACGUAGGGGGCUAGCGUUGUCCGGAAUCAUUGGGCGUAAAGAGCGUGUAGGCGGUCCGGUAAGUCCGCUGUGAAAGUCGGGGGCUCAACCCUCGAAUGCCGGUGGAUACUGUCGGGCUAGAGUGCGGAAGAGGCGAGUGGAAUUCCUGGUGUAGCGGUGAAAUGCGCAGAUAUCAGGAGGAACACCUAUUGCGAAGGCAGCUCGCUGGGACGUAACUGACGCUGAGACGCGAAAGCAUGGGGAGCAAACAGG
rnacentral:rRNA from 1 species